rnacentral:lncRNA from 1 species
GCACAAGUUCCGAGGAGUUCAUGGUUAUGCAACACCCUGUGCGCACAUAAAUACCAUACCAGCCUCCAUCUUCCGUCCUUAACAGGCUUAGCAUCGCAGGGCACUUUGUUCUAGCGGAUGAACUUGUUCUCGCUGUCCGGCUUGCCCUGCAGAAACACCACCAUUUAAAUUCACACUCCUGCACAUAAAUCCGCAAGCACUUCCUUCGAGUACAAAGUGAAAAAAAUAGGGACUCACUGCACAACUGCAAGCAAUCCCUGGGACGUUUUGGUGACACUUUCCUGAUACCGAAAACAUUCUCCCAUGAGUACAGAUUGCAGAAUUUGCUCCUCGAGGAAAACCCCUGAUUGCCGCCUCGAGUGGAGGUACAAGGUUUGCAAUGACAACACUUCAUUGGGUAAACUGGAUGGCGCCGCCUGAAAAAUGCCACCAAGACACAUAAACCAACUAAGAAGGAUCACUAUCGACUUUUUUAGUGCUGAUCAGAACCACACACCAUAUCCGCGGUGAGAACAGUAGGGUUUAAAUUGGAGAGACAGAAAUAAGUGUUCGCUAUAUGGUUGGAUUUUUUUCCUGUCUUUGAAAAUAGGGGGUAUGGAUAAUGUCACCGCAGAAAACAAAUUGCUGGAUGUGUUUCUGGUAAGAUUUUUUUUGCGUGUGUCACGGAGUGCACUUUUGGAGCAAAAACUACAGGACACACCGAGCUGGGCUUGUUCUCCGAUAACAAUAAGAAAACAUCGAACAAGUGAGCAGCAGUUCAGUAAUUUGCAGAAUUCUUCAUACUGCAAUUCAGUAUCAAGAAAGACAUGUACCUGCGCUUCCACUCACCCGGGAUGCACUGAGAGGUGCCUCCCCAGAGC